ACAAACACACACACACACACGCCCAUUUCUUUAAAUAAAAAACCACAGCGACUGUUGUCCGUCAGGUUUUCACGUUGUUUCAACGAACUCGGAGGAGGACCCUGCUAUCGAGAGUAUUCGAACCCCGCAUGACAUUCCUGAGACCAAAAAGACUUCAGGCUGAGAUUGAAACCCUAUCAUUGGCCCAGGUAAAUAUUUCAUUGAUGACUAUUUUAAUUAACAGACAACUUUAGUAACUUUAUUUACGUCGUUAACGAUUCAUUAGUACUUUUGAAACUUCACCGAGUCGUGUGAGGUGAUGUCUGUGAGGGCGCUUGGCUUUCCUAACGCCUUAGCUUCGCCAUCAACCGCGGUAAUUCUGCGAGCUUGGCUUGUCUCAGGAGAUUCCAUUAAACCUUGUGGUGUGUGACCUGUUGAAGUAUUUGAUGCUACAGUCGGUCUUUCUUCCCCACAAAUGCCAUGGUGGCGAUCUUUCGUCUCUAGUAGACCUUUCCGUCGAUUUCCGUAAAAAUUUUUUUUUUUUACAUAUGGGCUUGCGGGAACUUUUGAAGUAAUAUACAUACAUAUACACAUACACCGAGUAAAAAAUUUCAGUUAUCUCUUUCUUUCACACAUUACUCUCUCUGUCUCUUCACACACACUAACAGAAGCACUUCACUUACACAACAUACUGUCUGUCUCCCACACCCCAUCAAACACACACACACACACAUGUACAUCAAUGCUUCCCAUGGACGGUAACUUCAAAAGAACUUCCCUCGUCAUACAAUUGCUUUCUCUUAGUCUCUUUCGCUCUCAUUACUUCAAAAGUUCCCGCAAGCCCAUAUGUAAAAAAAAAAAUAUUUUUUUACGGAAAUCGACGGAAAGGUCUACUAGAAACGAAAGGUUGCCCAAAUGGUUUCAAUACAGUUUUAGCGGAAAGAUUUGGAAGAAUUAGAAGAAAGUUCGGUACUACUUUAAAUACAGAGGUACCGACGCAUCUACCUAACUCUAACCCUAACGAGUGAGCACUAUAAAAACAUCGUGGUACUCCUAGCGAACAGUGGUCCCGGUGCGCGCACAAGCGUACUCGCGCUAGCUAGUCAUGACUAGUCGAUCCUAAAACAACACCCUAGCAAAGUAAAUAAAACAAAAAUAGAAAGUAAAUAACACAAAACCCAAAGUAAGAAGGAUCGACUACUCAUGACUAGCUAGUGCGGAUGCGCGAGUACGCGCACCGGGACCACUGUUCGCUAGUAGUACCAAACAUCGUUACGUCGAUGCAUCGUAACCUCGAUACUUCUAGCGAACAGUGGUCUCGGUGCGCGCACUCGCGCUAGCUAGUCGUAAGUAGUCGAUCCUACGACUUUUUAACCCUCACCCUAACCCUAACCUUUGUUUAUAAAAAUAAUUCAUUUACUUAGUUUAAAAAUUAUUUAAUUUUCUUUGAUAUGGAUUCAGACUUGAAAUACAAACAUACUCGCAAGUCGUUGUAGGAUCGACUACUUACGACUAGCUAGCGCGAGUGCGCGCACCGGGACCACUGUUCGCUAGUAGUACCCGGGACGUUAAACUUACAAAUUACAAUUUUGUUUUCAAUUUUGUUUACAAUAAUGUUUUCUUUUGACACAUUCUACCAGUAUACGAAGUUUCAAAUUGUUUAGUUAACUAGAAAAUUCCGUCCAUCAAAAGGAAAAGAUCCUAAAUUUUCUUUCGUGUAAAUAAAUGUCUAUGUUAUCUUAUGAAUUCGCCAACAAAAUCUUGAGAUCUAUUUUUUUCAUUCGCAAAAUCUUCAAGUACUUAUUUAAGAGUGGUCCCGGUGCGCGCAUCCGUGCUAGCUAGUCGAUCCUUUGUGUUUUUGUGUUUUAUUUACUUUGUUUUUAAAAAAUUAUUUAUUUUGUGUUUUAUUGACUUUGCUAGGUGGUCAUUGUAGGAUCGACUAGUUUCUUUUGCCGAACUGCUAAGUUACGGGGACGUAAACACACCAGCAUCGGUUGUCAAGCGAUGUUGGGGGGGGGGGACAAACGCAGAUACACAAACAAAUACAUAUAUAUAUAUGUGAUCUCUUUCAACAUGUGAUCUCUUAAGCACCACCAGCUCAAAUAUUUUCUCCUCUGUCUUUCCUCUUUGGGAUCUUUCCUUCUCCUUGUUUCCGACGAAGAGCUCCGCUCGAAACGUUAAACCCUCCUUCCCUUCUUUCCUGAGCGUCAAUAAUACUUUAAUUGUUCCACGUCCUGCGUUGCUGUGUUUUUUUCUCCUUUUUUUCUCUUUUGUUCUGUGUUUUCUUGUUUGGAUUAACCAUAUAUAUAUAUAUAUACAUACAUAUAUACGAUGGGCUUCUUUUAGUUUCCGCCUACCAAAUUCACUCACAAGGCUUUGGUCGGCCCGAGGCUAUAGUAGAAGACACUUGCCCAAGGUGCCACUGAACCCGGAACCGUGAGGUUGGUAAACAAGCUACUUACCACACAGUCACUCCUACGUUCACUAUCGUGUAUUUAAUCUCUUGAGGUGCGCACACUCGCCGUUCCAUGCAUUAUUUUAGCUAUUUUAGGCUACGUUCAGAUCAUGAGACUAGCAGUAGACCAGUGACAUGCGAAUAUUUUACAUGCAUAAUACCAUGUUUUGAGUUGUACAAUAUGCAACCUAUAUUUUUAAAGGUUUAUUGAGCAGAAUAACUCGUGCAUAUCAUAUUAUGAUAAAUAGCUUCACCUUGUUCGUUUUCAUAAACUGGUAGACGUAAAUGCACGACGCUGUGUUAUUGUAACAGUGAACGUAAAUGGACGCGAGCUCGUUGCACUUUUGUGUUUGUAUGACCUCAUUAGAUAAAAAAAAAAACAAAAAACGGAGCAGUGUCUUGAAUGCUUCGGUAAUACCGACAUCAAGGGGUUAAUGAAGUUUGAAUAUUAUUGUAGAAGUGUGUUUAACCCUUUCGAUUCCAAACUGGCUCUGGCUCUGUAGUACAAAUGUCUUGUUUUCAGAAAUUUUGAAUUAAAAUCUUCCUCCAAACCUUAGUCACAGUUUAUGUUCUUAACAAUAUUUUACUAAAUUCUUUGUUAUAUUUAAAACUAAUUGAAAGAAACACAAAACAUCUCAACAGAAAUAUGGUAACAAAAGGGUUAAGAAGAAAAAUAAUCAGCAGAAGACAUGAGAGAAGGAGACCUCAGUGUGGUUACUCUAUAUGCUAGAAAUAAUAGCCUAAAUUUCCUUUAAUCCACACCCUUUCAACUGCUUCUAAUGUCCAUCUACCCAAAUGUAGAGGUGUUUUUAACUCUUUCGAUACCAACCCGGCUGAAACCACCUCUUGCUCUGUAGUAUAAAUGUCUAGCUUUUGUAAGUUCUGAAUUAAAAUCUUCCCCACCAAACCUUAAUCCCAAUUUGUGUUCCUAAAACCAGCUUAAUGAUAACUAAGUUGUUUUACUAAAUUCUUUGUUAUAUUUAAAGUAACUGAAAGAAACACAGAGCAUCUCAAAAUAAAAACAGUAACGAAAUGGUUGAAUGUUAAUUUGACAACCUGAUAUACGGACAGAAACGCACGUAUUUUGGUUGUGUGUUUAAAACAAUGAAGUAAACAUCUUUAAAAUUUUAAAUUUUCACAGAGCUGUAUGUUUUCUUUAUAUUUCAUUAUAGAUUCACUAUGGAAGGCAAUACAGGAAAUACUUCAAGAAUACUUAAGCCUCCGAAAACAAGUUUUUGUGAUGAAGGAGGAGUCUACAAUCAAAAGUGCAGAUAUUGGAGAGAUGACAUUUUAGAGACAGAAACCUCACAGAACCAAUCUUUGUGUCAGCCAACAACGAAACAAGACAGACAUAAAGAAGACCGUGAAAAGUGUAAAACAAUUGGAAGACGAGUUGUUUUGGACAAAUGCAUGUAUUAUACAAGAUUCAAUGCGUAUGAAGACAAAAUCAAUAUGUUGGUAAAUUCUCGGGAAAAAACAUGUGCCAUUUUAAAAAGUGUAGGGUUGGAUAAAAGCAGUUUUCUAAAAGAUUUUACACGGAGAAUUGAAAUUUUGCAGAAAAACGUUAAGAAAUGUGACUACAAUCAAGAUUUUAUUAUUUUUGGACAACUUGAAUGUUUUCUGGAACAAUAUGUAAAGAAAAAUGUUUUGCAACUCAAACACAGAAGCAUUGAGGCGCCAAAAAUAACUGACAAAUUCCGACCUCUUUGUCCAGUUGUGACCAGAGAAGCAAUGUUCACUGAAUCUGAUGAAGGCUUCAGCAACAUUAUAUCCAAUAUUGUCGUUAUACAGGGUGGAGUUGUGACAUAUUCCCGCCAUUAUAUGACAGUGUGUUGUGUGAAAAUGAACGGUAACAGAAAUGAAGUCCACUGCCCAUCUUCUGUCACCGAUUUUACCAGAAUCGGUAAAGACACUGUACUGGCCACCCUUCCAUUUAGGAAAAUUAUUCUAAUUAUUAGUCCCUCAAGUCUUAAAAUUCAAACGCUUCAAUUAGGCUUUUACAGGGUUUCGUACUUAGAACAUUUUACAGUUAUAGGUGUAGAAAUGUUCGGUAAGACUGUAAAUUUUAUUGAUUGGGAAGAUAAUAAAAUCACAAAGCAAUUCCUUGUCAAAGAGCCACCAUCAGCUAUUGUUGUAGGUCCACAGAAUAAGCUGUUGC
rnacentral:lncRNA from 1 species